ensembl:snRNA U6 U6 spliceosomal RNA
GUGAUUAGUUCACCGUCACAUGUACCAGAAUUGGAACAACACAGAGAAGAUUAACAUGGCCCCUGUGCAAGGACAUGUAAAUUUAUGAAGCAUUUUAUAUAUAU